UCCAGACUCCUACGGGAGGCAGCAGUGAGGAAUAUUGGUCAAUGGCCGAGAGGCUGAACCAGCCAAGUCGCGUGAGGGAUGACGGCCCUACGGGUUGUAAACUUCUUUUGUCAGGGAGCAAUUGGGUCCACGCGUGGGCUUAGCGAGAGUACCUGAAGAAAAAGCAUCGGCUAACUCCGUGCCAGCAGCCGCGGUAAUACGGAGGAUGCGAGCGUUAUCCGGAUUUAUUGGGUUUAAAGGGUGCGUAGGCGGAAUGCCAAGUCAGCGGUAAAAUCGCGGGGCUCAACCUCGCUCCGCCGUUGAAACUGGCGUUCUUGAGUGGGCGAGAAGUAUGCGGAAUGCGUGGUGUAGCGGUGAAAUGCAUAGAUAUCACGCAGAACUCCGAUUGCGAAGGCAGCAUACCGGCGCCCAACUGACGCUGAAGCACGAAAGCGUGGGUAUCGAACAGGAUUAGAUACCCCCGUAC
rnacentral:rRNA from 1 species